AAGUCGUAACAAGGUUUCCGUAGGUGAACCUGCGGAAGGAUCAUUAACACGUAUCCAAACCUUCAGUGUACUCGUACGUCCGUUAGAAAAAGCAGCAAUCCCUGGUAAAUCAUCGCCGAACAGUUUUCUCAGGGACGUCUGCAAGGAGCGUGCAUGUUGUGCGAGCAAGUGGCCUGGCAUCCCCAAGCAGUUAGUGUCUGAAAGUGUCAUUAACUGUGUAAGGAUGACGCAGUCACGAUCGUUGGAGGCCCACACGGCCGACGACCGGGUCACUGGGCGCAAGCCCCCCUAUAACAAACGCUGCUAAGCGCGGCCGCGAUAAUACGCAGUCGACCAAAAACCGAACAACUGUUAACAAUGGAUAUCUUGGUUCUC
rnacentral:misc_RNA from 1 species